rnacentral:rRNA from 1 species
UGGGGAAUUUUGCGCAAUGGGCGAAAGCCUGACGCAGCAACGCCGCGUGGAGGAUGAAGGUCUUAGGAUUGUAAACUUCUGUUAACUGGGAAGAAAAGUUUAAGGUGAAUAUCCUUAGAAAAUGACGUUACCGGUUUAGAAAGCCCCGGCUAACUUCGUGCCAGCAGCCGCGGUAAUACGAAGGGGGCAAGCGUUAUUCGGAAUGAUUGGGUGUAAAGGGCGCGUAGGCGGCUUAAUAAGUCUAUUGUUUAAGACCUCGGCCUAACUGAGGAAAUGCAGUAGAUACUGUUUCGCUAGAGUGUGAGAGAGGGAAGUGGAAUUCUCGGAGUAGCGGUAAAAUGCGUAGAUCUCGAGAGGAACGCCAAUGGCGAAGGCAGCUUCCUGGAGCACAACUGACGCU